GUUCUCUUAUGAGUACCGUCAUCGGAAUGAGAACAAUCUAAAUCCUUUAACGAGGACCUAGCGGAGGGCAAGUCUGGUGCCAGCAGCCGCGGUAAUUCCAGCUCCGCCAGUGUAUAUCUAUGCUGCUGCGGUUAAAAAGCUCGUAGUUGGAUCUGCGUGCUUGAAGCCGGUCCGCCUUCUAGGCGAGUACUGGACUUCAGCAUUGAAUCGUUGGUUUUCCUCUGAUGCCUUUAACCGGGUGUCAUGGGUGACUAACAUGUUUACUUUGAACAAAUUAGAGUGCUUAAAACAGGCGUUUAGCUUGAAUAUUCGUGCAUGGAAUAAUAGAAUAGGACCUUGGUUCUAUUUUGUUGGUUUUCGGAACACAAGGUAAUGAUUAAGAGGGACAGACGGGGGCAUUCAUAUUGCGACGUUAGAGGUGAAAUUCUUGGAUCGUCGCAAGAUGACCUACUGCGAAAGCAUUUGCCAAGAAUGUUUUCAUUAAUCAAGAACGAAAGUUAGAGGUUCGAAGGCGAUCAGAUACCGCCCUAGUUCUAACCGUAAACGAUGCCAACUAGCGAUCUACUGGUGUUAUUUUAGACCCAGUAGGGAGCUUCCCGAAAACGAAAGUGUUCCGGUUCCGGGGGAAGUAUGGUUGCAAAGCUGAAACUUAAAGGAAUUGACGGAAGGGCACCACCAGGAGUGGAGCCUGCGGCUUAAUUUGACCCAACACGGGAAAACUCACCCGGCCCGGACACCGUAAGGAUUGACAGAUUGAGAGCUCUUUCUUGAUUCGGUGGGUGGUGGUGCAUGGCCGUUCUUAGUUGGUGGAGUGAUUUGUCUGGUUUAUUCCGAUAACGAACGAGACUCCAACCUACUAACUAGUGGGCAGAUCUUCGUGUCUGCAACACUUCUUAGAGGGACAAGCGGUGUUUAGCCGCAUGAGAAGGAGCAAUAACAGGUCUGUGAUGCCCUUAGAUGUCCGGGGCUGCACGCGCGCUACACUGAAGGAAUCAGCGUGCUAGAAAACCUUGUUUACAUGGCUAGGUAACCCCUUGAAAAUCCUUCGUGAUUGGGAUCGGGACUUGCAAAUGUGUCCCUUGAACGAGGAAUUCCCAGUAAGUGCGGGUCAUAAGCUCGCGCUGAUUUCGUCCCUGCCCUUUGUACACACCGCCCGUCGCUGCCCGGGACUGAACCGUUUCGAGAAGACUGGGGAUCGCUGACUUAGGGCCUUCACGGGCUUUUUGUCGGUGAAAACCAUUU
rnacentral:rRNA from 1 species